GACAGAGGUGCCGAGCGUUAGGCGGAAUCACUGGGCUUAAAGCGUGUGUAGGCGGGCGGGCAAGUACCUUGUGAAAUCCCACGGCUCAACCGUGGAACGGCUGGGUAUACUGCCUGUCUUGAGCCAACUAGGGGCGAGCGGAACAGACGGUGGAGCGGUGAAAUGCGUAGAUAUCAUUUGGAACGCCAACGGUGAAAACAGCUCGCUGGGGGUGUGCUGACGCUGAGACACGAAAGCCAGGGUAGCGAACGGG
rnacentral:rRNA from 1 species